ACACGACUACAUUAGAUACCCCGGUAGUCCUAGCCGUAAACGAUACCCGCUAGGUGUCGGCCACGGUGCGACCGUUGUCGGUGCCGUAGGGAAGCCGUGAAGCGAGCCACCUGGGAAGUACGGCCGCAAGGCUGAAACUUAAAGGAAUUGGCGGGGGAGCACCACAACGGGUGGAGCUUGCGGUUUAAUUGGAUUCAACGCCGGAAAUCUUACCGGGACCGACAGCAACAUGAAGGCCAGGCUGAAGACUUUGCCGGAUUAGCUG
rnacentral:rRNA from 1 species